rnacentral:piRNA from 1 species
UUUUGAAUGGAUUUGUGUCUU